rnacentral:rRNA from 1 species
GGAAUUACUGGCGUAAAGCGAGCGUAGGUGGCUUGAUAAGUCAGAUGUGAAAUCCCCGGGCUUAACCUGGGAACUGCAUCUGAUACUGUCAGGCUAGAGUAGGUGAGAGGAAGGUAGAAUUUCCAGGUGUAGCGGUGAAAUGCGUAGAGAUCUGGAGGAAUACCGAUGGCGAAGGCAGCCUUCUGGCAUCAUACUGACACUGAGGCUCGAAAGCGUGGGUAGCAAACAGGAUUAGAUACCCUGGUAGUCCACGCCGUAAACGAUGUCUACUAGUCGUUGGGUCCCUUGAGGACUUAGUGACGCAGCUAACGCAAUAAGUAGACCGCCUGGGGAGUACGGCCGCAAGGUUAAAACUCAAAUGAAUUGACGGGGGCCCGCACAAGCGGUGGAGCAUGUGGUUUAAUUCGAUGCAACGCGAAGAACCUUACCUGGUCUUGACAUAUCUAGAAUCCUGCAGAGAUGCGGGAGUGCCUUCGGGAAUUAGAAUACAGGUGCUGCAUGGCUGUCGUCAGCUCGUGUCGUGAGAUGUUGGGUUAAGUCCCGCAACGAGCGCAACCCUUGUCCUUAGUUACCAGCGGGUUAAGCCGGGAACUCUAAGGAUACUGCCAGUGACAAACUGGAGGAAGGCGGGGACGACGUCAAGUCAUCAUGGCCCUUACGACCAGGGCUACACACGUGCUACAAUGGUAGGUACAGAGGGCAGCUACACAGCGAUGUGAUGCGAAUCUCAAAAAGCCUAUCGUAGUCCAGAUUGGAGUCUGCAACUCGACUCCAUGAAGUAGGAAUCGCUAGUAAUCGCGGAUCAGAAUGCCGCGGUGAAUACGUUCCCGGGCCUUGUACACACCGCCCGUCACACCAUGGGAGUUGAUUGCACCAGAAGUGGUUAGCCUAACCGUAAGGAAGGCG